rnacentral:rRNA from 1 species
UAUUUAUUGGAUAACAGACCAAUAUUCCUCGUGUCUAUUGUGGUGACUCAUAGUAACUGAUCGGAUCGCAUGGCCUUGUGCCGCGACUAACCAUUCAAGUUUCUGACCCAUCAGCUUUCGAUGGUAGUGUAUUGGACUACCAUGGCUUUCACGGGUAACGGAGGAUUAGGGUUCGAUUCCGGAGAGGGAGCCUGAGAAACGGCUACCACAUCUAAGGAAGGCAGCAGGCGCGUAAAUUACCCAAUCCUGACUCAGGGAGGUAGUGACAAGAAAUAACGGGUCGGGGCAUUCGCCUCGGGAUUGCAAUGAAUCGAAUUUACACCCCUUAAUGAGGAUCAAUUGGAGGGCAAGUCUGGUGCCAGCAGCCGCGGUAAUUCCAGCUCCAAUAGCGUAUAUUAAAGUUGUUGCAGUUAAAAAGCUCGUAGUUUGAUUUCUGGACGGGCGCCAACACCCGCUUGUUUAGUGUGGAGGCGGCGCCCGCCCAUCCUUCUGUUAACGCCACCGGCAUUCAUUUGCUGGCGGGCGGGCUCAGAUAUUUUACCUUGAGAAAAUUAGAGUGUUUCAGGCAUGCUUGCG